rnacentral:lncRNA from 1 species
UAUUGAGCUGAACGAGCCUCCACUAGUGCACACAGCCGCCAGUCUCUUUAAGGAGAUGUGUUACCGCUACAGAGAAGAUCUGAUGGCAGGAAUCAUCAUCGCAGGCUGGGACCCUCAAGAAGGAGGGCAGGUCAGGCCCUCCUCACCAGAACACUGGAGUCACAGCUUUGAUGCUCCACCCCCUCAGCCAUGUUGUGUGUGUGUGUGUGUGUGUGUGUCUGUCUGUCUGUCUGUCUGUCUGUCUGUCUGUCUGUCUGUCGUCUGUCUGUCUGUCCAGUAUGCACAUAACUCUUGUGAAUGUUUGCAUGUAGUUGCAGGCAAGG